rnacentral:rRNA from 1 species
GAUGAACGCUGGCGGCGUGCCUAAUACAUGCAAGUCGAGCGAACAGACGAGGAGCUUGCUCCUCUGACGUUAGCGGCGGACGGGUGAGUAACACGUGGAUAACCUACCUAUAAGACUGGGAUAACUUCGGGAAACCGGAGCUAAUACCGGAUAAUAUAUUGAACCGCAUGGUUCAAUAGUGAAAGACGGUUUUGCUGUCACUUAUAGAUGGAUCCGCGCCGCAUUAGCUAGUUGGUAAGGUAACGGCUUACCAAGGCGACGAUGCGUAGCCGACCUGAGAGGGGGGUCCGCCAACCCGGAAAUGAGACACCGUCCAGGCCCCCCCGGGGGGCCGCAGUAGGGAAUUUUCCGCAAGGGUGGAAAGCCUGAACGGGCAACGGCGCGUGGGGUAUGAAGGUUCUCGGAUCGUAAAACUCUGUUAUUAGGGAAAAACAAAUGGGUAAGUAACUUGGCACGUCUUGACGGGACCCUAACAGAAAGCCCCCGCUAACUACG